AGUUUCUCAGGACUGCUAAAUU
rnacentral:miRNA from 1 species